GACGAACGCUGGCGGCGUGCUUAACACAUGCAAGUCGUACGGUAAGGCCCUUUCGGGGGUCCCCGAGUGGCGAACGGGUGAGUAACACGUGAGUAACCUGCCCACAACUUUGGGAUAACGCUAGUAAACUGGUGCUAAUACUGGAUAUGUGCCCCUGCUGCAUGGUGGGGGUUGGAAAGCUCCGGCGGUGGUGGAUGGGCUCGCGGCCUAUCGGCGUGUUGGUGGGGUAGUGGCCUACCGAGGCGGCGACGGGUAGCUGGCCAGAGGGAGUGACCGGCGACAUUGGGUCUGAGAGACGGCCCAGGCGCCUACGGGAGGAAGCAGUGGGGAAUACUGCACAAGGGGCGCCAGCCUGAUGCAGCAGCGCCGCGUGCGGGAUGACGGCCUUCGGGUUGUAGACCGCUUUCAGCAGGGACGAAGCUUUUUGUGACGGUACCUGCAGAAGAAGCACCGGCUAACUACGUG
rnacentral:rRNA from 1 species